AGUGAACGCUGGCGGUAGGCCUAACACAUGCAAGUCGAACGGCAGCACAGUAAGAGCUUGCUCUUACGGGUGGCGAGUGGCGGACGGGUGAGGAAUACAUCGGAAUCUACUUUUUCGUGGGGGAUAACGUAGGGAAACUUACGCUAAUACCGCAUACGACCUACGGGUGAAAGCAGGGGAUCUUCGGACCUUGCGCGAUUGAAUGAGCCGAUGUCGGAGUAGCUAGUUGGCGGGGUAAAGGCCCACCAAGGCGACGAUCCGUAGCUGGUCUGAGAGGAUGAUCGGCCACACUGGAACUGAGACACGGUCCAGACUCCUACGGGAGGCAGCAGUGGGGAAUAUUGGACAAUGGGCGCAAGCCUGAUCCAGCCAUACCGCGUGGGUGAAGAAGGCCUUCGGGUUGUAAAGCCCUUUUGUUGGGAAAGAAAAGCAGCAGGUUAAUACCCCGCUGUUCUGACGGUACCCAAAGAAUAAGCACCGGCUAACUUCGUG
rnacentral:rRNA from 1 species